CUACACACGUGCUACAAUGGCGCAUACAAAGAGAAGCGACCUCGCGAGAGCAAGCGGACCUCAUAAAGUGCGUCGUAGUCCGGAUUGGAGUCUGCAACUCGACUCCAUGAAGUCGGAAUCGCUAGUAAUCGUGGAUCAGAAUGCCACGGUGAAUACGUUCCCGGGCCUUGUACACACCGCCCGUCACACCAUGGGAGUGGGUUGCAAAAGAAGUAGGUAGCUUAACCUUCGGGAGGGCGCUUACCACUUUGUGAUUCAUGACUGGGGUGAAGUCGUAACAAGGUAACCGUAGGGGAACCUGCGGUUGGAUCACCUCCUUACCUUAAAGAAGC
rnacentral:rRNA from 3 species